rnacentral:rRNA from 1 species
GAGGAUGCGAGCGUUAUCCGGAUUUAUUGGGUUUAAAGGGAGCGCAGACGGGAGAUUAAGUCAGUUGUGAAAGUUUGCGGCUCAACCGUAAAAUUGCAGUUGAUACUGGUUUCCUUGAGUGCAGUUGAGGCAGGCGGAAUUCGUGGUGUAGCGGUGAAAUGCUUAGAUAUCACGAAGAACCCCGAUUGCGAAGGCAGCUUGCUAAACUGUAACUGACGUUCAUGCUCGAAAGUGUGGGUAGCAAA